UCGGUUGAUCCUGCCGGAGGUCACUGCUAUUGGGAUUCGACUAAGCCAUGCGAGUCGCGAGGGUUCGGCCCUCGGCUGACGGCUCAGUAACACGUGGAUAAUCUACCCUUAGGUGGAGGAUACCCUCGGGAAACUGAGAAUAAUACUCCAUAGAUCUAGAAUGCUGGAAUGCUUUUAGAUCGAAAGAUUUAUCGCCUAAGGAUGAGUCUGCGGACUAUCAGGUUGUAGUCAGGGUAAUGACCUGACUAGCCUACGACGGAUACGGGUAGUGAGAGCUUUAGCCCGGAGAUGAUAUCUGAGACACGAUAUCAGGCCCUACGGGGCGCAGCAGGCGCGAAAACUUCGCACUGUGCGAAAGCACGACGAGGGAAUCCCAAGUGCUGGCUCGUAAGAGUCAGCUGUUUCUCUGUCUAAAAAACAGGGAGAGUAAGGGCUGGGUAAGACGGGUGCCAGCCGCCGCGGUAAUACCUGCAGCCCAAGUGGUGGCCGCUAUUAUUGGGCCUAAAACGUCCGUAGCCGGUUCUAUAAAUGCCUGGGUAAAUCGUACGGCUUAACCGUACGAAUUCCGGGUAGACUGUUCAACUUGGGACCGGGAGAGGCUAGAGGUACUCCUGGGGUAGAGGUGAAAUUCUGUAAUCCUAGGGGGANCACCAGUGGCGAAGGCGUCUAGCUAGAACGGGUCUGACGGUGAGGGACGAAGCCCUGGGGCGCAAACGGGAUUAGAUACCCCGGUAGUCCAGGGUGUAAACGCUGCUCGCUUGAUGUUANUCGGGCUUCNAGCCCAACUAGUGUCGGANNANAANUUGUUAAGCGAGCUGCCUGGG
rnacentral:rRNA from 1 species